UUCUAAAUAACUUCAAUCACCACUAUCUCUUCCUAAAACUAUUCAGCUGUUAAGAGGCGUUCACCUUUCAGUAAACCAACCAAAACUGGCCACGAAAUUCAUGAUCCAAUCACAGCAUGACAUCCUGCUUUAAAUGUCUUCUCUCCUUGCUAUCAGCUGUCUUUUCAGGCAAACGUGCAACCCUCCUCCCCUUCCACCUCUGGUCAUCGUCAAUCACGGCAACCUGAGUCCCUUUCCGGCAGACAGCUCCUUCGUUCGGUCUCCGGGUUCCUUCUCCACCAUCACCAGUGUCUAGGCUCCAUCGAGGGGAAUAUGUCUGGCUUCUCUACCCCUUUAAAAUAUUUAUAUUACGAUGGAGUCUAAUCCCCAAAGACUCUUGGGCCAUCUUGUUGAGAGCCAGGCAGCCA